AGCGAACGCUGGCGGCAGGCUUAACACAUGCAAGUCGAGCGGGCGUAGCAAUACGUCAGCGGCAGACGGGUGAGUAACGCGUGGGAACGUACCUUUUGGUUCGGAACAACCCAGGGAAACUUGGGCUAAUACCGGAUGAGCCCUUACGGGGAAAGAUUUAUCGCCGAAAGAUCGGCCCGCGUCUGAUUAGCUAGUUGGUGUGGUAACGGCGCACCAAGGCGACGAUCAGUAGCUGGUCUGAGAGGAUGAUCAGCCACAUUGGGACUGAGACACGGCCCAAACUCCUACGGGAGGCAGCAGUGGGAAUAUUGGACAAUGGGCGCAAGCCUGAUCCAGCCAUGCCGCGUGAGUGAUGAAGGCCCUAGGGUUGUAAAGCUCUUUUGUGCGGGAAGAUAAUGACGGUACCGCAAGAAUAAGCCCCGGCUAACUUCGUGCCAGCAGCCGCUGUAAG
rnacentral:rRNA from 1 species